CCCCUCCCCCUCCGGCUCCCCCCUCCUGCCCGCCGCUCCCUCCUCCCGUCCGCGUCCCACACUGCGCACCGCGGCUCGCCGGCGCCUCUAUCUAUUUUGUGUCCAGCCCCGGCCGCGCGCCGUGAUUCAUGGCCCCAAUUAGGGGCCCUCCCGCUCCAGCGCGCGCGGCUCCAGGGUCUCAGGGGACCUGUGACACCGGCAGCGGCCCAGGCUGGUUUUUCAGCAGAGGUCAAGCGGGACGUGGGAGGAGCCAGGGAAACACCCACAGAACUCUGGGCGAUUCCGACGACGGCAGCCCGGAGACUCUGCCUGCCAGCUGCGGCCAGCAUGCGGUCAGCCCAUUGCACAGAUGGGAAGGAGGCCGCGCUGAGUGUUAAGUUACCCCUCCGACCCUGCAGCCUCGGGAGGCGGACAUCUGGUCCACAUCAGCAUCCGCGCAUGGAGCCAGCCGCAGCAAGUUCGCAGCCAGGACCCCUCCCCCAGCCUCCCCAGCUCUGGCUGGGCUGGGAGACCUCUCCGGACCUCACGUGUCCUGUCUGUGAAAUGACACCCUUCCAGAAGCUUCAGGAUUCGAGCCUCUGGUUUCCCAGCAGUGCACAGCUGUCCUGACUGGGCAGCUGGAGCCCAGAGUCCUGGGGACAGAGGGCUGGGCGGGCCUCUGGCUCUCUGGGUGGAUGGGCCGGGGCUUCCUCUUGGCAAAGAGGCCGUCGUUAUAAAUAUGUGUAAGAAGGGAAAAGGCCCCUCCUGGGAGUCUCUGGUGGUACUCCAGGACUCACAGUCCCCGGAUUAACAGGAAGAUCAGCGUGGCGGGGCCAUGGAACUUGGGGCCUGUGUGGGGCCCAGGAAAGUGCUGGCUCAGCACGCUGUCCGGAAGAACAUGGGGGCCCCCGGGGGCUGCCUGGCUCCUGGCAUUUUUAAUACCUAGUGAGAGGGACCGAUUAGGAAGACUUUAAAGGGCGGAUCUGUUUCAUUGUAUGGCUGCCAGUCGGGGGCUGCUGGGUCUCACCCAGACAGAGCGCACGACGGCUCCUGGGGGAACCCGGGUCUGUGCGCCUGUAGGUAGGGUCCACCAGGCCUGGCGCGGGCUGUCCCCGCUGCUUCAGCGCUCUCUGGGCCGUGCUAGGGCUGCCGUGAUGGUCCAGGGAGCAGUGACAUCCAGAGGCUUCUGGUUUUCUCCCGAGACCGGUCCUCCGAGCUUGCCAUCAAGUCUCUCCUGUCUGCGCUUCCUCUUCGCCCCUCUGUGCCGCCCAAGGGUCGCAGCGCCCUCCCCGGAGGGCAGAACCCAGCUCUGUCCUGUCCACUGCGCAGCCAGGGCUGGCUCUGCACAGGUCCCACACACCCAGUCGCGGUCCUGCGCUCUCCCUGGCUGGCCGUGGGACCCUGGGCAGCCCACCCAGUGGACUCCACCUCCUGGGACCUGAGGGCAGGGCUCAAAGACAGCAGAGAGUGCCCGGGCACAGAGGUCAGGCGCACGGCAGGUGCCCUGUGUGGUGCCCCUGACGCAUCUGCCCAGUGCGAGGGGCCACAGCCUGAGGACGGCCCAGCUUUCUUGGCUAAGCAGGACUCCUCCCAGAGAGCUUCCUGAGUGUGUGUGUGUGUGUGUGUGUGUGUAUUAGUGUGCUGGUGCCCAUAUGUACUGUGCACACACUCAUGCCCACAUUUGCGUGUGCAGGGUUCUGUGCACAUACGUGCUUGCAGUGCAGACAGAUAUGUGCAUGUGUGUACUGUGUGCGCCCCUGUGCCAGUGCGGGGGAAGGGGGCCAGCAGGGGGAAGUGGGAGGGGUCUACCUGGGUGUUGUUUCUCUCAGUGGCCGGUCACUCAGGAAAGCGCCCCCGACAGGUCAGAGAAGAAAGAAGGCGAGAGACAGUGCUUGGUCAGCCGUGGGUAGAUGGCAAGGGGGCACAGCUCGGCAUGCCGGACUGACGUCACAGCUUCUCUGGUUACUGGAGAUGUGGCCUUGACUUGCUGCUUCACCUCUCCGAGCCUCAGUUUCCCCCUCUGGGAAAGAAAAAUACCAAAACAGCAUAGCCCCUGGUGUCGGAGGACUGAGGACAGGAGGGCGAAAGCGUCCUCUCUGCCCAUGGAGGCAGCCGUGGGGCUCGUGGGCACUGAGCGAGUGACAGCCGCAUGCCAGACGCAUGCCUCCAAGCCGCCAAGUCCCUGACAUGCUACUGCCGGCCCCUGGUGGGCUCUGUUAUGUCCCAGCUCAUGGGCGAGGAGAAGGGAAGAGGCUGGCCCAGCUCUGAGGCCUGGUGGGCCGUGAAUGCCCACGGCUUUGCCAGCUGGUCAGAGUUGCUUCACCCCAAAUCCAGCUCAGUGGACAGGAGCAGCCUGAGCCCAGCCCAUGUGUUCUCAAUUUUGCACCUAAGGAAGCAGGCAGGUUCCCGCCUGGACAUAGAACAGGCCACACUCACCCGGGGAGAUGAGAGAAAGCCUGGCGUGGCCCCAGGGAGCCGUUUCAAGCGCUGCCCGCUCCGUCUUUGUGUCUGCCUCCCGCGUCCCCCCCAGGCCUCCGCCUGCGCUGUGCCCGCUUAACGGGACCCACGUCAGGGUUUGGGCCCAUCAGUGCUGCCUCCGGGAGUGCUGACUCUGUCCCCGCCCUCAGCAUGGCCCCCCAAGUCCCAGCACCCUGCCCCUAGCUGCUCCCUAGGGUUCUCCUGCUCCCCUCCCUCUUCCCCAAAGCUGGCGAUCGGAGGUGAAAUCUUCCCCACGCUCCUGUGUCGCCAGCCCCGUGACCCGGCUUCCUCUUCCCGGGGCCUUUGCCCUCUUCCUGUUCCCUCUGACCGCCUGGGCCUUGGCAGCCCUCCCAGGACACAGUUACCUCCUCAGGCUGCCCCACCCUGCCCGUUCCAGUGGCAGCGUGCGCAGUGUGUUUGGCCUCUGGCUCACUGGGGACCAGAAAAACAAAAUUUAUCAUCUGACUGCCCUAUUUUGUCUUUUCCUUUUUUUUUCCCUAAGAAUGAAGCAAACACCUCUCUGUUCUCAGAAAGAGCUCCAAUCAUGGCAGGCGCCUGGCAAAAAUAUAUCCUUCUUCUUAGGAAGAAAGUAAUGUUAACAAUGAAAAAAAAAAUGUCCCGGGGUUUUUGGAGGCCUCGGGUCUGGCAGGGACUGUCUCGCAUCUGGUGGGUCCUGAGAUGCAGUGGUACGUUGUGGCCUGGCAGGAAGCAUUCUAUCCACUGAGGAGUGGGGAAACCGAGGCUCCCAGAGGCAGAGAGUUGCUAACGGGGACAAUUUCUGGAGCCAGGGUCAGCCGCCAGGGGUGGUGAGGAUUCCUCGUGUGUCACACAUACAAACUGUGCCGAUCUGUUAAAUAUAAACGCGAAACAUGCAGUGUG